rnacentral:rRNA from 1 species
ACGGCUCAGUAACACGUCGAUAAUCUGCCCUUAGGUCACGGAUACCCUCGGGAAACUGAGGCUAACACGUGGUAGAGGAAUUCUACUGGAAUGUGUUUUCCUUAAAAGGUGACGCCUAAGGAUGAGUUGGCGGCGGAUUAGCUUGUUGGUGGGGUAAUGGCCCACCAAGGCAUUGAUCCGUAGGGGCCCUGAGAGGGGUAGCCCCGAGAGGGACACUGAAAUACUGGUCCCAGCUCCACGGAGUGCAGCAGGCGCGAAACCUCCACAAUGCGCGAAAGCGUGAUGGGGGGAUCCCGAGUGCUUACAUUUAUUGUAAGCUUUUGCCAAGAGUUCACAUCUUGGAGAAUAAGUGGUGGGUAAGACCGGUGCCAGCAGCCGCGGUAACCCCGGCGCCACGAGUGGCAAUCUUUUAUUGGGCCUAAAGCAUUCGUAGCAGGUUUGAAAAAUCCCUUGUGAAAUUGUUGAACUCAAUACAACAGCGUGCAGGGGACACUUUCAGACUAGAGACUGGGAGGAGUUGGGGGUAUGCCUGGGGGAGCGGUUAAAUGUGAUAAUCCUAGGUAGACCACCUGUGGCGAAGGCGCCCAACUAGAACAGUUCUGACUGUGAGGGAUGAAAGCUAGGGGAGCGAUCCGGAUUAGAUACCCGAGUAGUCCUAGCUGUAAACUCUGCGAGCUAGGUGUCGCAUAUUCUACGAGAAUAUGCGGUGUCGAAAAGAAGUUGAUAAGCUCGCCGCCUGGGAAGUACGGUCGCAAGACUGAAACUUAAAGGAAUUGGCGGGGGAGCAG